AGCCAUUUUUAAAUUCAUAUCCCCAUGUACAGUUUUAAACUAGAGUCCCUGGAACGGUUACUAUUUUUUAAAAGAAAAUUUGAAUUAAAAAAGAAAUGGUUAAAUAAGCUCCUGAAUCUCUUCCCAUACAAUGGAUAAUCUAUAAAAUGAGAGGAAUCUGCACAAGAAAAAAAACCUGCAUAUAAUAUAAAAGGGAACAAAAGAAGCAGGGAAUGAGAGAUUAGGAC
rnacentral:lncRNA from 1 species